rnacentral:misc_RNA from 1 species
GUCAAUAGGUGUAACAAAACAAACGAUUAUUUAUUUUACUCAAUUCUCUCGUUGUUUUUUUAAUAUUGGGAGAAUUCAAUUUAUAAGUUAAAUACCCGAAAAUGGAAGGUGAUGGUCAAGAAGAACCAUCUGCUUCUGCUUUCUGGUCAGUAAAUCAUGUAAAUGUAGGUAGAAAAAGAAAAUUCAAUCGUCACCGAAGAAGCCCUGCAUUUAAUCAAGAAGAAAUAAAGUGUUUGCUCAGAAUACUACAGAAGUACAAAACCAUAGUUUUCAAUAAAUCUACGAAUGCGUCUGCUAAUCGAGCGAAAGAGGUCGCUUGGUUGAAAAUAGCUAAAAUAUUCAAUAGACAAGGUUUCAAGCAUAGAAGAAGUGCAGAUUGUUUGAAGAUAAAAUGGGAUAAUAUGAAGAAGAAGGCUAGAUAUAAGUCUAAGAACUUGAUGGAUAUAAAUUAUGAAGAGUUUGAUGAGGCCACUAGUCAGAUGGUAGCCAUGAUGUGUGAGACUGAGAAUGGUGCCACUGCAGAUGAUCCUGUGGCGUCAGAUGGAGAUAUCAAUGAUACAAAACACAAGGAUGAAUCUACCACAAAUCAAUGGAAUGGAAAUGAAGACAUGGAUUCUAAUGAUUCUUCUAUGGAUGGUGGUAAUGAAAACCAAAGGUUCCUGAACCGAUCAACCAAUUUUUCUCCUGAAGAGUGCAACCUAUUGUUACAAUGUGUGAGACAAGAGAAAAAUAUUGUAUUAUCAAACACAAACACAUCAAGUUUCAUUAAAUUAAAAAAUCGAGCUUGGGAUCGGAUAUCCAACUCAUACAAUAAACUAAGUCCAGAAAAGAGGUCCACUAAAGUACUGCGCACAAAGUUCACAAAUAUGAAAAGAUUAGUCAAGACUGGAGGAAGUAUGAAACAAUAUUUUAAGGAAUUUACCAAGAAACAACCACAACUUGAAGAUUCUGGCAGUAAAAUAAAAGCGGAGCCACUGUUCGAGCACAGAAGCAGUUUAGACGCCGACAAUGACAGCGAUUUGGAUGAUCAUAUAGGAACUGAUAUUAAUAGUGAUGGCAACACCACACUUGAUCCUUUGAGCACAGUGCUGAAUAGUGAUUUAGGUGUUCAAUAAGUCAAUCAGAAAAUAAAGAAGUCGUCAGAUUAAAAAUAGAACUAUUAAAUUACAAAUUGGAAACGGCUAAGUUAAAAAGGAAAAGAAUAGAGGAUUUAUUACA